rnacentral:rRNA from 1 species
CAUGUUCACAUGAUUAAAGGUAUUCCGGUAGACGAUGGGGAUGCGUUCCAUUAGAUAGUUGGCGGGGUAACGGCCCACCUAGUCUUCGAUGGAUAGGGGUUCUGAGAGGAAGGUCCCCCACAUUGGAUCUGAGACACGGUCCAAACUCCUACGGGAGGCAGCAGUGAGGAAUAUUGGUCAAUGGGCGAGAGCUUGAGCCAUCCAAGUAGCGUGAAGGAUGACUGCCCUAUGGGUUGUAAACUUCUUUUAUAAAGGAAUAAAGUCGGGUAUGGAUACCCGUUUGCAUGUACUUUAUGAAUAAGGAUCGGCUAACUCCGUGCCAGCAGCCGCGGUAAUACGGAGGAUCCGAGCGUUAUCCGGAUUUAUUGGGUUUAAAGGGAGCGUAGAUGGAUGUUUAAGUCAGUUGUGAAAGUUUGCGGCUCAACCGUAAAAUUGCAGUUGAUACUGGAUAUCUUGAGUGCAGUUGAGGCAGGCGGAAUUCGUGGUGUAGCGGUGAAAUGCUUAGAUAUCACGAAGAACUCCGAUUGCGAAGGCAGCCUGCUAAGCUGCAACUGACAUUGAGGCUCGAAAGUGUGGGUAUCAAACAGGAUUAGAUACCCUGGUAGUCCACACGGUAAACGAUGAAUACUCGCUGUUUGCGAUAUAC